GCCACUUUGCAUACAGAAUCACUUUGGGGGGUGUUCGCACGACCAAAACGCUGAAUUUAAAAUUUUAAAAUAGUCUCACGCCGAAAAACCGUUUAUGUCCAUUAACGAAAAAUGGAGACGCCGGUUGCUUUCAUGUCCGAAAAAUAGACAUUAAUAGACAAAACGUCAGCAAAAAAAGGAGAGCGAACAUGAAUGAAUGGAAGGACAGAGCAAGGAAGUCUUUGAGGGAUGCUGGGAAACCAUAUGUGAACCGGAGAGGAGAGCAAAAACGAGGAAAAAGUCCACCAAAAGAGGGAAAGGCGUGCAAGGAGACAUGUCCCAGGCAGUGUUCAAGCCUAACAGACCAAAGAAAACUCCAGCUCUUCACAGAGUUUUAUGCUGUCUCUUAUGAGAGGCAGCAGGCUAUCAUUAUCCCUGGUUUGGACCAGUGCAAUCUAUUCUGCUUACCUGACUCAUGCAGACUUCUGUCCUGAUGUUUGGCUGUAGUCCUUCCAUCAUCCAGUCUUUUGCAACCGGUCUAUUUAUGGAGACCACCAUGAUGGCCAAACUUUGGGUGAGGAUCUUUCUCCCACUGUUCACCACCAAACCUCUUCCUAUAUGUAAACAGUUGUUUAGCACACUGUUGUCUAUAUUUGAAUGGGUAAUUUUUAGGCCGCAACCAAUUAUCUUAAUUAAUGUUCUAGAUUAAUUUGAUAAAAUGCCACAUUUUAUUUUCUUUAUUUUUAUUUUCCGCAUCUACUUACAGAUGUGAGUCUCAAUGUUCUCUGCACACAACUGCUUACAAUAGUGUUUCGAUUGCUGUCUGUGUGAAAAAGUAACUAUAUGAACAAGUAACUAAAGUCAAGCAGUAUUUAAAUUGUAUUUAUUUACAGAGGUAUAUGAAGUCACACUUGUCUGUGUGUGAAUAUGUUGUGCAGCACAAAUCCAUGAAUGAAUGUUCUUGAAGCGAGUUAAACUUCAACAGAUAUACCCUGCUAAGGGAGUAGGGAGCAAUGAACACUUUGUAGGGACCAUGUCAAUGGGAACACAGGUUAUGCACGGAGCUCUCUUCUAACGAGCUGAUUAUCUGAAUCAAAAAGAGAGACUUACAAAAAUAUGUAGAGCUGGUGGGCACGGGGACUGGAACUGAGAACCGCUGCUCUGAUUAAAGGAAAGUAGUAUAGUAAAGUAUUAUCAAAGAUGGCGACAUCCAUACAAUUAAAAGUCUUCUGUUAAAUCUGAACCAGCAGCAUCUUUUAUUACUUGAAGUAGAUAAGAUUAUUUGGGUCACAUACAGAGUACAGAACUUGAAAGUAGCGGAGAAAAUGCUUCAGUAAAGAAAUAUUAUUUGCAGUUUGCUCUGACAGAUGCUUUGACAGAUGUGUGUGUACCUGAGUCAUGUUUUUCCAGAGCACAACUUACAUUUGAUGGUAGAGUCCUUGUCUAAUUUUGGAAAUAAUUGAAGAGAAUAGGAGUGCAAUGAUUCUGACUACAAUUUACGUUGUACUAAAAUAUUUAUUUUAAAUGUAGGUUUAAUAUUCUAUGUUAUAUUUAUGAGAGCAUUAAAUGUAAAGGAGUAUACAUGUAAUUACUACAGUUACUACACGUAAAACAAUUGCUAUGUUAAAUUUACUAUUUUCAGAAUAUACGGGUAUAUUAACGUGAAUACAUAUUCCCCAUAACAGUUAACAUUUAAUGGGUGUUUUGUUUUUAGGAUUUUUUAUAUGUUUUAUGCUUUAAAAUGGCAAGCAAAGAGUUUUUUUGUUUUACAAUGUCAUGUUUGUAUUUUAACCCUUUUUUUGACUAAUGUGUAGCACAACUUACAUAAAUACAUUCACUAUAUUUGUUUUCUUUGACUUCAGUUUUCACAUUGUUUGGAGGACAAAAUCGGGAAGGAUGUAGGGGCACACAGUUUGGGCACACAUACACAGAUCAUCUUUGGGUUUGUUGCUCUGUGCUGUUUGAUUGUAUGGUAGUCAGAACUUUGUUCAGUUUUAUUCAUUACUGUCAGCUUUCACAGCAAUACUGCUUAAUGAGCAAUUAUCUCUAUCAAACAUGGACCUUAAAGGGAUGGUUCACCCAAAAACAUUAUUCAAAUAAAUAUUGUGACAAUCAUGUUCAUGAAUCUGAUUUCAGUGGCACAGCUGUGUAGUAUCUAGUACAGAGGUCGUUGACAGUAUUGUGUUCAUUGUAUAUGAUGUUCACUGCCCAGUAUUGUAUUAUUGUUUACACAGUAAGUUUUCAGUAACAUUAUUUCCUUA